CAAACAUGGCAGGGGAAUACAAUGACUUCACCGACCACUUUCAAGCCAAAUCAAUCCUCUCUAAACAAACCAUGGAUGGCGAAAUUCAUCAACAGACAAAAUGCCAGUGCACACGCCGUGCUCUAUAUUACAAUGGACGAAAAUAUUACGUAUUCUACAGACGAUGUUACUGUUAUGAUUAUCAAGACAGAUCAGAAGAAUUUGAUAUCACCCCCGAAAAUUCCUCAUUACCGCACAACCAAUUAAAUGAAGACGGUAUAGACAUCCACCAAUUUUCAGACUGCAAAUAUGUUUAUCAAAUGCAAUGGGUGCAUGGAAGGCAGGCGAAAAUAUUUCGACUACAUUGCAGCUGCAAGACAACAGCAAGGAGAAAUAUGGUCCGUUAAAUUGAAGAAGAUGACCAAUGUUUCGGAGAAAAAAAUGUAUUUCUGACUUAAUAAACCAUUCACCCAAAAUAA